rnacentral:rRNA from 1 species
CCUACGGGAGGCAGCAGUGGGGGAUAUUGCACAAUGGGGGGAACCCUGAUGCAGCGACGCCGCGUGGAUGAAGAAGCGCCUCGGCGUGUAAAGCUCUGUCAGCAGGGAAGAAAAUGACGGUACCUGACGAAGAAGCCCCGGCUAACUACGUGCCAGCAGCCGCGGUAAUACGUAGGGGGCAAGCGUUAUCCGGAUUUACUGGGUGUAAAGGGCGUGUAGGCGGGUAUGCAAGCCAGAAGUGAAAGCUUGGGGCUCAACCCCCAAACUGCUUUUGAAACUGCGUGUCUUGAGUGCUGGAGAGGCAGGCGGAAUUCCCAGUGUAGCGGUGAAAUGCGUAGAUAUUGGGAGGAACACCAGUGGCGAAGGCGGCCUGCUGGACAGUAACUGACGCUGAGGCGCGAAAGCGUGGGGAGCAAACAGGAUUAGAUACCCUUGUAGUC